rnacentral:rRNA from 1 species
GGACAGAUGGGAGCUUGCUCCCUGAUGUUAGCGGCGGACGGGUGAGUAACACGUGGGUAACCUGCCUGUAAGACUGGGAUAACUCCGGGAAACCGGGGCUAAUACCGGAUGGUUGUUUGAACCGCAUGGUUCAGACAUAAAAGGUGGCUUCGGCUACCACUUACAGAUGGACCCGCGGCGCAUUAGCUAGUUGGUGAGGUAACGGCUCACCAAGGCGACGAUGCGUAGCCGACCUGAGAGGGUGAUCGGCCACACUGGGACUGAGACACGGCCCAGACUCCUACGGGAGGCAGCAGUAGGGAAUCUUCCGCAAUGGACGAAAGUCUGACGGAGCAACGCCGCGUGAGUGAUGAAGGUUUUCGGAUCGUAAAGCUCUGUUGUUAGGGAAGAACAAGUGCCGUUCAAAUAGGGCGGCACCUUGACGGUACCUAACCAGAAAGCCACGGCUAACUACGUGCCAGCAGCCGCGGUAAUACGUAGGUGGCAAGCGUUGUCCGGAAUUAUUGGGCGUAAAGGGCUCGCAGGCGGUUUCUUAAGUCUGAUGUGAAAGCCCCCGGCUCAACCGGGGAGGGUCAUUGGAAACUGGGGAACUUGAGUGCAGAAGAGGAGAGUGGAAUUCCACGUGUAGCGGUGAAAUGCGUAGAGAUGUGGAGGAACACCAGUGGCGAAGGCGACUCUCUGGUCUGUAACUGACGCUGAGG